rnacentral:rRNA from 1 species
CAUAAUCAUUAGUUCUUUAAUUGUGAACUUGUAUGAAUGGUUGAACAAAGGAAAUUCUGUCUUUUAAUUAUAAAUUGAACUUUACUUUUGAGUGAAAAGGCUUACAUUAUUUAGAGGGACGAUAAGACCCUAUAAAGCUUUAUAAAUGAAUUAUUGGUCUUGUGAACUUAAAAAUAAAAGAGACUCAUAGGUAUUUAUUGUGUUGGGGCGACACAGAUAUAAACUAGGUAACUAACAGGUAAUGAAACACUUAUAUUUGACAAAUAAUGAUCCUUAAUAAAGAUUAAAAGAAAAAGUUACUUUAGGGAUAACAGCGUUAUUCUUUUUAAGAGUCCUUAUCGAAAAAAGAGUUUGUGACCUCGAUGUUGAAUCAUAAAAUCUUUUUAGUGCAGCAGCUAAAAAAG